AAGAAGUUGGAGUGAACCUUCCUCUACUGGAAGCAUGCUUCUGACGAAAGGGGAGGAAUUUUAAAUGGUACCAUGGACGUGUUUGUGCAUGGUACAGCCCUAUGCCGGGAGAUUCGAUUUGCUGAGAGGGGAAGCGUGGAAUGGUGCGGUCCUCUCCAGGGAGAUUCCACUGUGGGAGAGAGGGACAAAAUCUGGGGGCUGAACAAUCACUGUGAACUGUAAUUAUGCCAAUAACAACGGAUGGUAGAAAGCAGUCUUCGGUCUGAGACCCAUCCCUAGGGUUCUGAUAACUUUGGAGAUUGUGAUACGAGAAUAGAGGAAAACCUUUCAGGACUCAUGGAGAGCUGAAAUGUUCAUGACUAUCAAGCAGAACAGGAAUUAACUGCAUAGACUGAACUAAUAGAAGACCAAAGUAAUCUUUUUUACUUUUUGCCUAAAAUGUUGCUGAUCCUUUGUUUUGUUUUUUCAGAGUUGAGGAAACUUUUUUUAAGCUAUUGACAGCUUUUAACAAAUUAAUAUGCUCCUAAGAACAAAACGUGGAGCAUAUUUCUCUUUACCUGAUUUCUCCAGAAUUUGGAAACUAUUUGUCAGUAUUCUUAACUUAUAACAAUUUAGUUAUUUGCACAAGCACAGUAAGAAUGCUUUCUUUUGCAACAGGACACUAUUGGAGAAACUUUAUUUUACCAAGGCUUUGACUGGAAUGGUGUGCUUUCAUGUAAGGACUCAAACUUGAUUUAUAGAGCCAAUAAAAGCCCCUUGGGAAAACUAGCCUCAUACCUUACCUAUACAGUUCCUCUACAGGGUUCCUGAUUUGUGGUAAGUAAAGAAUGUCACUUUCUGACAGGCUAAGGAGCCCCAAGUUAUCAUAGGACCUCAAAAGGAGAGGAAUUUACCCAACUCAUAGGUAUUUGAUGGUAUAAAUCCAUGGCUGGGCUCAGCUUAAAAAAAAAGUCUUA